rnacentral:lncRNA from 1 species
GGACGAAAUCAACCAGAAACUUUUAGGGCCUGUUUGGCCUAACUUCUGAAAAAGUGAUUUUCUGAAAAAGUGAUUUUGGUUUGGAGAAGUGAUUUUGGCUAAAAGCUGUAUAGCGUUUGGCAGAGUUUAGAUAGAAGUGAUUUUUUCUGAAGUGAUUUUGAAAAGCUGUUUAGAAAAUUUUUUUUCAUGUUUGCAUAAAUUAAUAUUUUUAUUAAAUUUUAUUUUAAAAUAAUUUAAAAUUAAAAUUUAAAUUUGAAUUAAAAUUAAAAUUUUUAUAUUUCAAAAUUGUACAAAAUUUAAAAUUUGAUAUUUUAAUUUAAAAAAUAAUUUAAAAUUUUAAAAUUUUAAAGUUAAAAUAAUUAUGAAAUUUAAAAAUAUAUAUAAUUAUGAAUUUUAAAAUAUAAAAUUUUAAUAUAUAAAAAUAUAAAUUAAAAUUAAAAUUUCAAACUUUAAAUUUAGAAUUUAAAAUUUAAAAUUUA